AAAGUUGAAAAGNACUUUGAAGAGAGAGUUCAAGAGUACGUGAAACCGCCCAGAGGUAAACGGGUGGAUCCGCAAAGUCGGCCCGUGGNAUUCAGCGCGGCGCGCAGACCUGGGCUAUNCGUGGUUCGGGAUCCCUGGGACCCCAUCGCGGUGUCGUUCGGGUCUCCGCUGCGUGCACUUUCCACGGGCAGAGUGCCACAACCGGUUCGGCGGCGGCUAAAAGUUUGGAGGGUUNUAGGUGGGGGCGCUUGCGUCCCUACCAGCCCUACUCUUGCGAGUCGUCGCCGGACCGAGGGAACGCAGCGCGCUUCGAGGCCACCUUCCCCUCCUGGUGAGUUCGACUAGGAGAGACUGGGCAACCGUGUCUCCUGACCGCUCAUCUGUGAUCGGCGUGAGGCUGGCCGGGCGUGCAUUGUCUGUNNAGGGUUGGUNGGCAAGUNUGUCGGCAUUCCAC
rnacentral:rRNA from 2 species